rnacentral:lncRNA from 1 species
GUAAUAACAUGACCAUAUACAGGGAGUACCAGUACUGAGUCAAUGUUCAGGGGUACGAGGUAAUAACAUGGCUAUAUACAGGGAGUACCAGUACUGAGUCGAUGUGCAGGGGUACGAGGUAAUAACAUGGCUAUAUACAGGGAGUACCAGUACUGAGUCGAUGAGCAGGGGUACGAGGUAAUAACAUGGCUAUAUACAGGGAGUACCAGUACUGAGUCGAUGAGCAGGGGUUCGAAGUAAUAACAUGGCUAUAUACAGGGAGUACCAGUACUGAGUCGAUAUAGGUAGGGGUAGGGGUAAAGUGACUAGACAACAGGAUAGAUAAUAGACAGUAGCAGCAGUAUACUGUAGGUAGGGUUAGUGACUAGACAACAGGAUAGAUAAUAGACAGUAACAGCAGUAUACUGUAGGUAGGGUUAGUGACUAGACAACAGGAUAGAUAAUAGACAGUAGCAGCAGUAUACUGUAGGUAGGGGUAAAGUGACUAGGUAACAGGAUAGAUAAUAGACAGUAGCAGCAGUAUACUGUAGGUAGGGGUAAAGUGACUAGGUAACAGGAUAGAUAAUAGACAGUAACAGCAGUACACUGUAGGUAGGGUUAGUGACUAGACAACAGGAUAGAUAAUAGACAGUAACAGCAGUAUACUGUAGGUAGGGGUAAAGUGACUAGGUAACAGGAUAGAUAAUAGACAGUAACAGCAGUAUACUGUAGGUAGGGGUAAAGUGACUAGGUAACAGGAUAGAUAAUAGACAGUAACAGCAGUAUACUGUAGGUAGGGUUAGUGACUAGACAACAGGAUAGAUAAUAGACAGUAACA